ensembl:lncRNA
CUCCAAGUGAUGCAUGAUAGGCAUUUAAUCCAGCAAUAGCCUUCUCCUUUGUUAUUAGUAGUCAAUCCCAAUAGAAUGACACUCCUGAUCUGGAGUCUGCCAGACUCUCUGAAGUUAUAUGCAGUUCACUGCACUGUCCCCAUGAGCUGGAUGAGGGAGAUAGGGAAACUGAAGAAAGUCCAUGAUCUGGGCUCAGAAAAUGAUAAAUGAUGGAAGAAGGAUGGGAACUGUGGGGAGUGUCACAGGAAAAUCCUGUAGUAAGUUUGUAUUCCCAUUGUCAGUGCUAUGUGUGCAAAACCAUGAGCAGGUACUCUCGGAAAUGAGGAAAAAAAAGACUGAAUUCCUGCUCAAUAGUGGGUUUGUCUUCAGCACAGAGGAAGUUUGGUGCCACAUGCUGUUAGCAGUUCUGUAUCUCAACAUUUGCCUCCUUCUGUGUACCAGCUUUCUUGUCACAAUCCCUCUGCUCGCUCAACCCACCUUCGCUGGGCUUCCUCAGAUCCUUCCCAAUACCUCUGUGUCACUACCACUGCAUUCCAAGUCUUUGGAUGGUCAAUCCUAAUUGACCAGCAACCACAAAAAAAUGUUGAGCUUUUGUUUUUUUUGUUUCCCAGGGAGAAUGCCUCCUUUGUUGUUCCCCAUCUGAUGCAAAUGCUCCAUGUGGAAAGUACUAAUAUAAUGAAGUCUGGUACUAUUGCAGGCAGCACAGAACAAGGUCAUGACAAUCCCUGUGGAGCUGAUAGCUGUGGACUAAUGACUGGUAUACCAAGCAGAUAAGCUGUGGACAUUUUUCAGUGUUAACAUAAUGACUUUCAUCAAAGGAGGAAGAAGUCUACUUAUUUUUCAUUUUGUUAAGGAAAGCAAGUUUACUCAUUCUGAAUCAUGCCAAACCGCAUAAUCUGGAAAGGAAUAUUGUGGCUCUACUUGGAAAGUACUAAUUGGGUUUCAGCCAUCACUGGGAAAGUUGUAUAGCCUUUUAUUAUUUUAACUGGCCAAAUGCCCCUUGUUCCCACAUUAACAGCCUCCCUAUGACGCCUGUAACUUUGAUAUUAUUUUCACUUUUACGCUAAAUUUCACCAGAUGAAAGGCACAAAUGCUCCAAUUUCAAAAUAAAAUAAAAUAAAAUAAAUAGCAUGUUUUGUUAAUCCUGUAUUUCAGAGGGAAAGUCUGUGGAAAUGAUAACCUACGUCUACUGGCCAAAGUUUUGUUCAGUGAACCCAUCCUGCCAGCUGUUCUCAUUGGCAAGAGGAAAGAUAAUAUUUUGAUAUUUUUAAUUUCCUCAUUUUAGAGCAGAACUUUUGCUUGUGUCAUCAUUUAAAUCAUGUGUGUUAACAUCAGUCUGGCAGACAAUGCAGCCUUUAUAAAGAGCUGGGUUUGGAAGAUAUCACUGUGAUGUUGCAAUAAGGUUGUUCUAGAGCAUUAAACACAACUUAAGUCACUUACAGACAAGGAAUUGUUGCGGGCUCUCUGCUUUGUACUACUGAAGUACUGCUUUGAAUGUUCUGAGGAGGACACCAAAGCAGAUAUGUAGGAGCAUUUUAGUCAGAUAUAACUGGCCACUGAAGACACAAAAUAUCUCAAAACACUGGUCUCUCACUUGUGUUCAUGUUGUCCUCAUCUCACAAGGCAAAUUGAGAAAGGAUCACCAAAGAGCACCUAAGGUCCACUCCUUGGUGAGUGACAAGGGAUGGCCUCAGGUAGGCAAAAGGAACACUGAUAUUUCUGAGACAAAAAACAGUCACCUAAAGCUUGAAGCUUAACCAACAUACUUCCUAUCCAAAAUGCCCUAUCAUAUCCAAAAUGCAGACAGAACAUGUUCUCCCUUCAUCUUGGGUUCUGGCUGCAAGCUCUAAUUUCUACUAAAUAUUGAAGCCCACACCUUAGCAAAGGCUUAUUUCAGCAUAUCAUAGAAUCAAUUGUUUUGACUUGGAAAGGAUCUUUAAAUGCCACCUGGUCCAAUUCCCCUACAAUGAACAGGGACAUCUAUGGCUAGAUCAGGUUGCUCAGAGCCCCAUCCAGCCUGAUCUUGAAUGUCUUCAAGGAUGAGGCUUCCACCACAUCUCUAGGCAACCUGGCAAUCUGUUCCAGUGUUCCAGUACCCUUCCCAUAAAAAACUUUUUCCUCAUAUCCAGUCUAAAUCUCCCCUUUUUCAGUUUGAAACCGUUCCCCUUGUCCUGUCACAGCAGACCCUGUUAAGAGUCUGUCCCCUUCUUUAUUAUAGUCCCUCAUGAGAUACUGAAAGGACGUUAAAAGAAGAUUUCAUUCAUUUGUGCCUUACAGUAAUUGUAUAAUUACUGUCUUAAAUGCUCUGAGGUGGAUGGUGUUUAUGACCAUUCCAGUGUGUUUCAUAGGGGAACAGCAUAACCUUCCACUGUCCUGAAAUAGAACGGGGCCCUUCCAUUUAUUAAAGUUGUCUUGGGCAAGCCAGCAAAGUCUGUAAUGGCUCUCUUAUAUCACCCUGUGUGCACUUUGUAAUGCGGGGCACAUUUCAAGGAAAAUGGAGAUAGUUCCUACAGUUUGCCUACGUAUUGCUGUUGAAAUAUAUUAUUGCAAAAAUUGAAAAUAAAAAGAUUUUGCAUUUUGUUAGCAAAGCUCAGCCCUGCAACCAUACUAAUAAUACCACAGUUAUACCACAGUUACAACAAGGAUGCAAGUUUGCAUUUAAAUAUAUUUCUCCAGCUUUUGCAGUGUGUGAAUUCAGGAAAAAAAAAAUCAAGUUUUAAUUUCCUCUAGGAACGUAUAAUAAUUUACUGCCUUUUUCUGGCUGUGCUGCCAUUCAGCAAGAUCUAGAUAUGUUGGAGAGUUGAAUGGAGAGGUACCUUUAUGAGCUUCACAAG